AUCAAAAAAAGUAUUAUGAAUAGGUUCCCCACACAAAUAAUGCAAGCAUGCAAAUGAUGCUUUUUGCCUCCUACUAUCUUCAUUUGUUUUCCUUUUGUCUUCAAUUCCUUUUCUUAAGUUUUAGCCUUUCAUUUUAUGCAUUCUUUCCCCACUCUCUAAUUAUUCUUUUGAGCUCUUUUUUUUUUUUUUUUCCCUUCAUUUUUAUGGUGGGAUCAAUAAUGCAUUCACUUACUUUUCAACGUGACUCGAACCCUCGAUUUUUCGGUUGAUGUUGGAGGUGCAAAGGCAGAUGUAGAGUGAUGAUAUUGGGUACAUCUGAAUACAAUAUUUUUUAUGCGGAGUAUAAAUUUAUAUGUAAAAAUUUAUAAAAUUUGCAAUAAAUAACGUGUUCAAUGC